rnacentral:rRNA from 1 species
GCUAAAACUCAAAGGAAUUGACGGGGGCUCACACAAGCGGUGGAGCAUGUGGCUUAAUUCGAAGCAACGCGAAGAACCUUAUCCUAGGCUUGACAUGCACGGAUUAGUCCUCUGAAAGGAGGAGUACACCCGCAAGGGCGGAACGUGCACAGGUGCUGCAUGGCUGUCGUCAGCUCGUGCUGUGAAGUGUCGGGUUAAGUCCCUCAACGAGCGAAACCCCUGUCGUUAGUUGCUAACGGGUAAUGCCGAGGACUCUAGCGAGACUGCCGGUGUCAAACCGGAGGAAGGUGGGGAUGACGUCAAGUCCUCAUGGCCUUUAUGCCUAGGGCUGCACACGUGCUACAAUGGUGCAUACAGAACGACGCAAGACCGCAAGGUGGAGCAAAUCGCUCAAAGUGCACCCCAGUUCGGAUUGUGGGCUGAAACCCGCCCGCAUGAAGUCGGAAUCGCUAGUAAUCGCGGAUCAGCUACGCCGCGGUGAAUAUGUUCCUGAGCCUUGUACACACCGCCCGUCAAGUCAUGGGAGCUGGCAGCGCCCGAAGUCGCCUCAAUUCAGAGGUGCCCACGGCGAGGCUGGUGACUGGGACUAAGUCGUAACAAGGUAGCCGUAGGGGAACCUGCGGCUGGAUCACCUCCUU